AUUGAACGCUGGCGGAAUGCUUUACACAUGCAAGUCGAGCGGCAGCGCGGGGCAACCUGGCGGCGAGCGGCGAACGGGUGAGUAAUGCAUCGGAACGUACCCAGUCGUGGGGGAUAACUGUCCGAAAGGACAGCUAAUACCGCAUACGUCCUGAGGGAGAAAGCGGGGGAUCGCAAGACCUCGCGCGAUUGGAGCGGCCGAUGCCGGAUUAGCUAGUUGGUAGGGUAAAGGCCUACCAAGGCGACGAUCCGUAGCUGGUCUGAGAGGACGACCAGCCACACUGGAACUGAGACACGGUCCAGACUCCUACGGGAGGCAGCAGUGGGGAAUUUUGGACAAUGGGGGCAACCCUGAUCCAGCCAUUCCGCGUGAGUGAAGAAGGCCU
rnacentral:rRNA from 1 species